rnacentral:lncRNA from 1 species
CGCCUGUAAUCCCAGCACUUUGGGAGGCCGAGGUGGGUGGAUCACGAGGUCACGAGAUCGAGACCAGCCUGAUCAACAUGGUGAAACCCCGUCUCUACUAAAAAUAGAAAAAUUAGCUGGGCGUGGUGGCACAUGCCUGUAAUCCCAGCUACUCGGAAGGCUGAGGCAGGAGAAUUGCUUGAACCUGGGAAGCGGAGGUUGCAGUGAGCCGAGAUUGCGCCACUGCACUCCAACCUGGUGACGGAGCAAGACUCCAUCUCAAAAAAAAAAAAAAAAAAAAAAUCCCUGCUUUUUUGGGGUCAGGCUUGGCCAUAUGAUUUGUUUUGUCCAUAAAAUAUAAAUGGAAGUGAUGUGAGCAGAAAC